CGAAAAGAGAAGAAAGAAAAUUUCCCUUUCCACCACGCGCCGCUUCCUCCUUCACCUGCGAGCUUCCCCAAACCCUCUCCAUCCCUUGUUUCUCUUCACUUUCUUGCUCUCUCUUUUCUUCAUCAAUGAAAGAUUGAUUUCGCUACUGGCCUAGGUUAACUCGUGUAACCAUUGCCAUCGCCGACCACCACCACCACGACGGUAACCAUUGACGAUAGCCACCAUCCAUCAUCCUACUCUUUGGACUUUGUUUCCAUCCAAUCCGCCUCAGAUUUGCAUCUCUGUCAUCGUUUGUUCAUCUCAGACGUCGCCAAGGGCUUUCAGCCACCAUUGCUGCUCUUAUCGCAACACCACACCUCCGUCGCUUGCACCGCCACCGUUCUUUGCAUGUAGACGCACAAGAUCAUCACCGCCGGUUGGGGUUAUGGCUUUUGUCACAGGUUGAGCCCUCAGAGAUAUUUUUGAAAUCUAUAUCGAAUGAAGUCACUAGCGUCGAAGUCAUUUACCCUUCAAGUCUGAAUGCACAAUUGUUCGCCGAAGAUUAGGACAUAUUGCUCUGAGGUUUUAACUUUGCCUAGUAUCGCAUUCUUCUGGGUUUCAUUUUGGGCUUAUUCUCAUUGGAGAGCCCUUCAGGAUAUGUAGGUUUAAUAUAGCUACAUUAUGAAAAGCUACAUAAUGCCAUUAGCAAACUUAAGCAGCAAUUCCCUUCAGCAAUGUUUAAGCUUUCCAGAUAAAAUUGCAGGGACAAAGCCAGAGUUCCGAUGGCAACUUUGUGCUCGAGUUGGACUUUGAGCCUUUUAACACAUCCUUUUUCCGCCCAACACUUAACAAGUCAAUUGGGAAUGGCGUUGAGUUUUUUAAUGGCCACCUUUCCGCUAAGCUUUUCCAUGGCAAGGAGAGCAUGCAGCCAUUGCUGGAGUUCCUAAGGCUUCAUAUUUACAAUGGAAAGGUGGGACAAUGAUCUGUAACUACCUCUGAAGACAUUCUUUGGAAGGAUCCAUAUGGUCUUCAAUGUGGUGAUCCUUUCUCCCCGUGGUUACUUUGCUCAAGACAAUGUCUUGGGAUACCCUAAUACUGGUGGCCAGGUUUUUUACAUCUUGGAUCAAGUUCGUGCAUUGGAGAAUGAGAUGCUCAACCGCAUCAACAAACAAGGCUUGGACAUCACCCCUCACAUUCUCAUUAUAUCUCCCUAUUCCAGAUGUAAAUAUUUAGCUGACUUGUAUAUAGUGAAUCGAUUUUCACUAACUUGAGCCUGUGAUUGCUUUUAAAAUCUAUUUUCACCCCGUGAUUUUUACUAAUAUUUAACCUAUCAUUGGGAUUGGUUUAUAGCCUAACUUAAUGUAACAUAGUUAUAGACUUGUAGCAUUUUUUAUUAUUUAGAUUUGUAACAUGAUUUAUUACUUUUCAAGA